GACGAAUGCUGGCGGCGUGCUUAACACAUGCAAGUCGAACGAAAAGACGGAAAGAGCUUGCUCUUUUCAGAAUUGAGUGGCAAACGGGUGAGUAACACGUAAACAACCUGCCUUCAGGAUGGGGACAACAGACGGAAACGACUGCUAAUACCGAAUAAGUUCCAAGGGCCGCAUGGCCCAUGGAAGAAAAGGUGGCCUCUACCUGUAAGCUAUCGCCUGAAGAGGGGUUUGCGUCUGAUUAGCUGGUUGGAGGGGUAACGGCCCACCAAGGCGACGAUCAGUAGCCGGUCUGAGAGGAUGAACGGCCACACUGGAACUGAGACACGGUCCAGACUCCUACGGGAGGCAGCAGUGGGGAAUCUUCCGCAAUGGGCGAAAGCCUGACGGAGCAACGCCGCGUGAGUGAUGACGGCCUUCGGGUUGUAAAACUCUGUGAUCCGGGACGAAAAGGCAGAGUGCGAAGAACAAACUGCAUUGACGGUAC
rnacentral:rRNA from 1 species